ACGGCCUACUGGUCUAGCUGAUGAAGAUCAUUGCUAAUUACCGGGAUUGACAGACCAGCAUUGAUAGCAUACUAAUGAUAGGGCAUUUAAGGUUCGAGAUUUGCAGGGGGUUUUGCAUUAUCGAGCUGUUGAUUUUCGAUCUAUUAAAGAUCGGAUGGUCCCUUGGUGAAUAGAUCAGGCAAUUUUUUCCUUAUCGAAAUAGCUUUAGUUUUAUGGUUUUUGCAAAUGCCAUUGUUGCCGAAAAGGUUGUCACGCGUAAAGGCACAUAAUAGAUGGAAGAACUGUAGGGCGAUAGUUGUUUAGCAAAUCCACGCCAAACCUCAAUGUGUAUAUUUUGUUCGUCAAACUUCUAAAUGAUGUUAUACCUGCAUAGGCAUCUUAGUUUAAUUUAUGACCUCCCAUAUACUCGAGAAGGAUAUAUUGUGGUUUAUGUUCCCUUCUCUUUUGAUAUAUAUACAUUCUUAAUGCAAA